GGGUAACGGGGUGGCAACAGCGGCGGUAAGACGGGGUGGGCACGCGUUGUCGGGAGUGGCGGGGCGUAAAGGGCGCGCAGGCGGUUUCUCACGGCCGGGGUGAAAACCCCGGGGUGAACUCGGGGACUGCCGUGGAUACGGGGAAACUGGGGGAGCGGAGAGGCAAGGGGAAUUCCACGGGGAGCGGUGAAAUGCGUAGAGAUGUGGAGGAACACCUGUGGCGAAGGCGCCUUGCUGGCCGAUUUCUGACGCUGAGGCGCGAAAGCGUGGGGAGCAAACAGGAUUAGAUACCCUAGUGUC
rnacentral:rRNA from 1 species